GUCGGGGGAAAAAAAGAGGAGUGGAGACCCGAUGGUGUAACAUAUGCCGAGACAAAGAUGACUAUGCUGAUAGCUGCAAGCAACAUCCCAUUCUCAUUUGCGGAUGUUUACAACAAAUCCGUGAAGAAUAUGUACCCGGAUUCAGAGAUCGCUUGCCAGUACUCAAAUGGCAGAACAAAGGCGACUCAAAUAGUGAAAGGUGCCAUUGCCCCGGAAUUGGACAAGGAAGUGAAGGAACUUUGCCAAAACCAACCCUUUGGUUUGAUGUGUG